rnacentral:rRNA from 1 species
UACGUAGGCGGAAAAUUAAGUCAGUAGUGAAAUCCUGCAGCUUAACUGUAGAACUGUCAUUGAUACUGGUUUUCUUGAAUAUAGUUGAGGUAGGCGGAAUGUGUAAUGUAGCGGUGAAAUGCUUAGAUAUUACACAGAACACCGAUUGCGAAGGCAGCUUACUAAGCUAUGAUUGACGCUGAGGUACGAAAGCGUGGGGAGCGAACAGGAUUAGAUACCCUGGUAGUCC